rnacentral:tRNA from 1 species
GCGCAUGUGGCGUAAUUGGCAGCCGCGCUAGACUUAGGAUCUAGUGCCGCAAGGCGUGGGGGUUCGAGUCCCUCCAUGCGCAC